UACGUAGGGGGCAAGCGUUGUCCGGAUUUACUGGGCGUAAAGAGCGCGUAGGCGGAAGCUUAAGUGUGGCCUGAAAGCCCCCGGCUCAACCGGGGAAGGUGGCUGCAAACUGGGCUUCUUGAGGGGGAUAGAGGAAAGUGGAAUUCCGGGUGUAGCGGUGAAAUGCGUAGAGAUCCGGAGGAACACCAGUGGCGAAGGCGGCUUUCUGGGUCCGCCCUGACGCUGAGGCGCGAAAGCGUGGGGAGCAAACGGG
rnacentral:rRNA from 1 species